rnacentral:rRNA from 1 species
CAGGCCUAACCAUGCAAGUCGAACGAUCACUUCGGGUCUAGUGGCGCACGGGUGCGUAUGCGUGUGGAACCUGCCCUCCGAUGUUCGGAAAUAUCUCUCCGAAAGGGGGCUAUUAUCGAAUAUUGUCUUCAGACCAGAAAUAUAUCGCCUCUAAAUGGCCCGCGUGGGAUUUAAUAUUUGGUGGGGUGUAGGGCUACCAGGGGGACAUCCAUAUCUGGUCUGAAAGGAUGAUCACACACACUGGGGACUGAGACAGGGCCACACUCCUAUAGGAGGCGCCAGUGGGGAAUAUAGGGCAAUGGGCAAAGCCUGAUAUACAAAUGUCGCGUGAGUGAUAAAAGCGUUAUGGUGGUAAGCUCUUUUACCAGGGAUGAUAUUGACAGUACCUGCAGAAUAAGCUCCGGUAAAUCCGUGGCACAAGCCGCGGUAAU